CAAAAUGGGAGGUAAAUUUCUCCUAAGGCUAAAUAUCGGCGAGAGACCGAUAGCGAACAAGUACCGUGAGGGAAAGAUGAAAAGAACUUUGAAAAGAGAGUAAAAUAGUACGUGAAAUUGUUGAAAGGGAAACGAUUGAAGUCAGUCGUACCGACGAGAAAUCAACUUAUCGUGUGCGAACUUGUGGGCGUGCGUGAGUUUCGGCCUCGCUGUUUGCAUGUUUGUGCGCUUUGGGUGUACUUUUUCGUAUGGUAGGCCAACGUCAGUUUCGAUUAUCAUAAAAUGACCGGCGGAAUGUAGCUUCGAUUUCGGUUGAAGUGUUAUAGCCUCUGGUAGAUGUGGUGAUUGGGACUGAGGAUUGCAACGAAUACCCUUUGGGCUAUCCGUCUGACCUCUGAAAGUUGCUCAGGUGCCGAAAGCGUGCUUACGGUCAUCUAAGAUAACGUUCAACAGGCUAGAACGUGAUUAC
rnacentral:rRNA from 1 species